GGCCAGGUGUUAGUUGCUUUCUGCACAGUUGGUAAUGAAGUGUAAACAGUAAAAAGACCUUUCCCGUACAUCCUGCCAGUUAAUUGGCCACCCGCGAGUGCAGUCCUGUUUAAGGUCUUCCCUCUUAUCCUGUUGCAUCAAAGAAAUGGGACAGCAGGAUGUGUAAUUAUAAUUUCAUUCAACACAGCAUCAUCUCUGCUGCCAUGGGAAAGCGACUUCUGCUCAGGCAUCUGGCUCACAUGGCAGUGCAUAGGAAAAAGUCUGCAAAGAUGGAGAUGAGUUAGAAGAGGACAUGGACUGAAGAAAUGUCAUCCAGUUUUCUGAAGCUUACACUGCAACCUCUCUUGUGUGCCUGGACUCCUCUGUAACAACCCUGGAUGACACUUCUGCCAAAGAUACGAGUCUGGCAUCACAGGUCCUGUGCAGGAGAGAGACAGCACUGUGUGGCAAGUGUGGGCAGUGCAAAGCUGGAGCAUCAGGGUGCAGUGUAAAGACAUAGAUGUUGUGUUCAGUCAGUGGGAUCUGACUGACUUA
rnacentral:lncRNA from 14 species